UACGGAGGGGACUAGCGUUGUUCGGAAUUACUGGGCGUAAAGCGCACGUAGGCGGAUUAGUAAGUCAGGGGUGAAAUCCCGGGGCUCAACCUCGGAACUGCCUUUGAUACUGCUGAUCUCGAGUCCGGAAGAGGUGAGUGGAAUUCCUAGUGUAGAGGUGAAAUUCGUAGAUAUUAGGAAGAACACCAGUGGCGGAGGCGGCUCACUGGUCCGGUACUGACGCUGAGGUGCGAAAGCGUGGGGAGCAAACAGG
rnacentral:rRNA from 1 species